AUGCAGGGGUUACUAGAACUCUAGACAGUAUGGACUUGAUGCAAGAGAGAAAUUUAGAGGGAUCGAAUAAAAUUAACCCAUAGAUUAAAAAAUGAUUGUUCAUGAGAGAAGUUGGAAAGAAGUUACGGAGUUUUGGUAAAGUAUAGCUCACAUAGGAAAAAAAGUCAGGGAAGCGAAGAGCUCUGGCGAUGAUAAUAUAUUUCAUGUGUUCUCAAACCUACAAUCAGUGGUGAAGAAAUGGGGAAAGUAGGAGUUGAAGAAACUGGUUUCAGGAUUUGUCAUGGGCUUUUAACCUAGAGGUAUGGGAAGUCUGGAAAAUGCAACUUAGCAGUGAACAAACUGCCUUUUCAGGAAAGGUCAGCAAUGGAACUUUAAGAAAUCUCCAAAUAUUUAAUAGGCUUACAAACAUAUAGAACAUAGAGCAGAACGGUGUGUAUGAAAGAACUGCAAAUGCUGGUUUAAAUUGAAGGUAGAUACAAAAUGCUGGAGUAACUCAGCGGGACAGGCAGCAUCUCUGGAGAGAAGGAAUGGGUGACAUUUCAGGUCGAGACCCUGCAGUUGUACAGACCACACCUGGAGUAUUGCGUACAGUUUUGGUCGCCUAAUUUGAGGAAAGAUGUUCUUGCCAUAGAGGGAGUACAGAGAAUGUUCACCAGACUGAUUCCUGGGAUGUCAAGACUCUCAUAUGAAGAAAGACUGAAUACACUCGGCUUGUACUCGCUAGAAUUUAGAAGAUUGAGGGGGGAUUUUAUAGAAACGUACAAAAUUCUUAAGGGGUUGGACAGGCUAGAUGCAGGAAGAUUGUUCCCGCUGUUGGGGAAGUCCAGAACUAGGGGUCACAGUUUAAGGAUAAGAUGGAAGUCUUUUAGGACCGAGAUGAGAAAAUCAUUUUUUACACAGAGAGUGGUGAAUCUGUGAAAUUCUCUGCCACAGAAGGUAGUUGAGGCCAGUUCAUUAGCUAUAUUUAAGAGGGAGUUAGAUGUUGCCCUUGUGGCUAAAGGGAUCAGGGGGUAUGGAAAGAAGGCAGGGAUGGGAUACAGAGUUGGAUGAUCAGCCAUGAUCAUAUCGAAUGGCGGUGCAGGCUCGAAGGGCCGAAUGGCCUAUUCCUGCACCUAUUUUCUAUGUUUCUAUGUUCUAUGUUUCAGACUGUCAACCUAUAGAGCAGAACAGCACAGGAAUGGGCCCAUUGGCCCACAAUGUUUCUGCUGAACAUGACGCCAAGAUAAACUGAUCUCAUCUGCCUGUACGUGAUCCCUAUCUCUCUAUUCCUUGCACUUCCAUUUGCCUAUCCAAAAGAAUGGCCUAUCCUAAAGGACUAUGCAUAGUCUGUAGCUUGUGGUGUGUUGGCUUUAGAAGAACAAUGUUAUUUAAUUCUCAAACAAAAAGACAAAACCCUAUCUUAAUAUGACAUCCUUGCAGCCCAUUCUUGCCUAUUGGAAAUCAUUCACCCUUACCCUCUCUAUAAAACAAUUGAAAAUGAAACUAGACUCAAGGCAUAAAAUGCUAUUGUUUGGGAAGGGAGUGUUGCAGAGGGGUUAAAGGGAAGAGAACAUGAGAAUGUUAUGAUCUGAUACAAUUUUCUCACCCCCUGAACUCCCAUGUGUUAUAAAAUCGUUGCAUUUGCUCCAAAGUAAACCAACAGUAUAUGAAUAAAAUAUCUGCGGCAAAUAUUUCCACCGAGUUCUGUGGUAACAACGCAAAAAUCUGCAAAUAUGUUUUCUUUCUCAAAGCAAAUAAUUAAGAAUGGAGAGUCCUGCAUUCUUUCUUUAUGUGUCAUAAGCUGUGGAAGCAGAAUUUUUACAGCUGUGAUGCCAAACCAAAACUGAUUUCAUGUUUCUCAUGUUGACUAAGCAGAUGUGCAGUUUCUUUUAUAAAUUUUACUUACCUUUCCCUGACACUCUGUUGCUCAGUUUACGAAUAAUUCUCAGGAGUUGUGACUGAUGAAAUAAAAUAUGAUUUUUGGCAAAGCUAAGGGCCAAGUCUAGGAAACAUAGCCUGAUUUGUCAUGAAGCCUUAAUUUUCCCAAUAGAAUUACAUCACCAAAUGGGAUUGGUGAGUGGUGGGAAAACAAAACACAUUUCUCCAGUUUUUGGAAUAUUUUGAGUAAGGGAAAUCUUAGAGACCAGAAAUUCAUUUGGUUUGCUCAAGUGUACUGGAGAAGGAAGUUAUAUUUCCGAUCAAGAGACAGCACUGCUUUAAGAAGCCAUGCUUAAAAAUUGGAAAGGAUUUUCAAGAUGGAACCAAGCUCGCUUCUUCCACGAGUCGGGGAAAACAAAACAACAAAACUAAUUACAAAAUGAUCAUUGGCUCACUAAUAAGUCAUCAACAUGCAUCCCUUGCUGGGAGCGUGAAUGCAGCUUGAUAGUAGGAAAGGCAAAGUUAAUGAAAAUUUUCAUCGAACAUGCAUAAUCUGGGCAAAAUUUGCACCUGUGCAGCUGUUAGAGAUAAAAUGAGCCGCACACUGCGUACCCUUGCUUGAAUCUCUGCAGCAGUUCAGACAGUUGUAAAUGCCUUGAGUAGAAACAUUGAGUACUGUUAAUGGAUAGGUUUAUUUUAAACCAUGCCAUCUGCUAUCAAUCACGGAGAAGUAUGGGAACAAGUUGGCUGUGCUCCCUUCUGUGAAGCUGAUAGAGAUAGGGCUCUGACAUACUGGGACGUUUAAUCCCAGGAGAAUAAAACAUCAAACCUACUCACCAGCCUCACUAACAAUAAUAAAAAAUGCCUUCUCCUAAAGGUGACAUUGCUAAUUUACGAUUA